ensembl:lncRNA
GACUUUUCUAGCAAGUUCUUUUCUGCUGAACAGGGGUCCAGGCUGGCUUUUUUUUGCCUUACCCCAGUUGUGAGCUGGCAAACAUCUCCCAGAAGAUAAAUCUAAGCGGUCCUUGUGCACUUACAGAUACAUCAUAUUAAUUUUGCUUUGGAGUGGAAGUGGCAGACAGAAGAAAAAAAGAAAGCUUAUCUCAGUAAAACCUUCAAUGGUAUUAGCAUAUUUGUCUUCUUAUACAUCAACAUUCAAGAUUAAAGCCUGAGCUUUUAACUUCAGUAAGUCUUGUAGGCUUGAGAGAGGAUGUGUUGUUGAAUGCCUGGAUCUGAGAGAACAAGUAUUACAUCCUCACUCAGGAUGCAGAGCAUCUUCAGGGCUGAGGUUGAUUCCAAGAGUACUAAAGGAGAAGUUAAACAAUGGGACAAGUUUUAAUAAAACAGGAAAUUUCUGUACAUAAUGUCAAGAUUGACAACAAUACUAACAAAAUCCAAGAAGAAAACAGGCUGCAUCAAAAAAGAAAGAGGGGGAAAGAACAUCUUUAAAUGGUAACGGACGCAGAGUGGUAAAAACAGAGGAUGAGAUUUGUGAGGAUGAACUCUAGUGCUAACACCAAGAGGCUUUCCUAGAAUCUGGAGCUAAGUCACAAUACUGUUUAUUGGAGAAUUAAUCAGGAGGAAAAUUGCUUGUGAUUCAAUCAGAUUUAUUUAAAUGCUAGAAAAUUCCCUGUUAUUAUCCAUUUAACAAAUAACAAUUCAUAAUGUUUGAUAUGAGCUUUACCAUACAGCUUUAUUCUUUAGAAAAGUGUUCUUUUAAUCUAGCAGUUAGCCUAGACAGCCUAAGCUUAAGCAGAGGACUGAAUAUGACUGUUACUCUGUUCAGCAAGCAGUCUUAUGUUUGUCACGUAGUUAUCAGCUGUGCUCUGUUUCUGUUGCAUAGCUCACUUUUUGGACAGCACUUUGAUACCUCAAUUUUAUUCUACCAGAUUAGUACAGAGCAAUUCUAGAUUUACACUUGUACAUAUCAUGUGAGACUUACACUUGAUAAAGACUGUUAAGAUAUAGUUUGGAAUUGCGCAGAUGAUGUUGUCUUGUGCUGUAAUCAUGGAGUUUACCAAAGCAAGUGGUACUUCCUCACUGUAGUCUUUUGUAUGCCAAAUUAUUUCCACAGUAAUUGUUAUACAUCAGUUACCACCCAGCUCUGAUAUGUUUUGUUCCAAAUCCAGCCUCUGUAUCUCUUCUAAUCAUUACUUUUCUCCAUACAAAAGAUAAGUAGGGGAUGUACUUGCAUUCCUUAGUGUUAUUAAUAGAUGUGAAUCUGUUUCACUGGCCUGACGUUGCUGUGGGGACCUUAUGGAGAGACUAAACAAAUGAUUUUAGCUUUGAUGAAUGCCUUCAUAGCUCUGAGUG